rnacentral:miRNA from 1 species
AGAAUUAAAUUUGGACCGUAUAAC